UACGGAGGGGGCGAGCGUUAUUCGGAAUUAUUGGGCGUAAAGGGCGCGUAGGCGGCCCGGUAAGUCAAAGGUGAAAUCCCUCGGCUCAACUGAGGAACUGCCUUUGAAACUGUCGGGCUUGAGGCCGGGAGGGGGUAGCGGAAUUCCCAGUGUAGCGGUGAAAUGCGUAGAUAUUGGGAGGAACGCCGGUGGCGAAGGCGGCUACCUGGACCGGUUCUGACGCUGAUGCGCGAAAGCGUGGGUAGCAAACAGG
rnacentral:rRNA from 1 species